rnacentral:rRNA from 1 species
CCUACGGGUGGCAGCAGUGAGGAAUAUUGGUCAAUGGGCGCGAGCCUGAACCAGCCAAGUCGCGUGAAGGAUGACUGCCCUACGGGUUGUAAACUUCUUUUAUAAAGGAAUAAAGUGAGUCACGUGUGCCUUUUUGUAUGUACUUUAUGAAUAAGGAUAGGCUAACUCCGUGCCAGCCGCCGCGGUAAUACGGAGGAUCCGAGCGUUAUCCGGAUUUAUUGGGUUUAAAGGGAGCGUAGAUGGGUUGUUAAGUCAGUUGUGAAAGUUUGCGGCUCAACCGUACAAUUGCAAUUGAUACUGGCAGCCUUGAGUACAGUUGAGGUAGGCGGAAUUCGUGGUGUAGCGGUGAAAUGCUUAGAGAUCACGAAGAACUCCGAUUGCGAAGGCAGCCUACUAAACUGACACUGACAUUGAUGCUCGAAAGUGUGGGUAUCAAACAGGAUUAGAUACCCUUGUAGUC